CAGCGAAGAAGAGAGAGAAAGAGACUAGUGUAAGAGAGAGAGAGGGGAAGCACAGUAAAUCAGGGGUAUUUUUUUUUUUUUUCCUCUGCUAAUAAAGGGAAGUUUUGAGUUCUGUAGUCAUUGUCAAAUGUCAAGGGAAGUUGCUUGCUAAGCAUAUUCUCCCGCUUGACCCAUCGAAGGACUCUGGUCAAGUGAAACGGGCAAAAGCUGAGGUGGAGACUAAGACAGAGACUGAGACUGAGACCACAGACCCUGUUAGUUCAACUUCAACUGUUGCGUUAUCUUGGAUGUUAAGGCAUUUCAGCUGUGGGGUUAAUGAGAUGCUUAGACGCCGUGUGUAGAAAUCCGAGAAGGAAGAAAAGACCAUUUUUCACUUUUAACUUCCUUUAAAGCUAUGUUCAUGUUCUGCUUCUUUGUUUAUUAGUUGAUUGUGUAUCAAAAUGGCUUAGGUUCAUAUUGUAUUUAAGGCGUAGAUGUUUUGUACUUGAGGCCAAUUACCCAUGAAUGUUUUAGGAAAAAGGUAAAAAAGAUAACAUGUGUCUAACUAUGUUUUACCGUUUAAAAAUAUUUGCAUCUUACCAAUGUGUGUAAGCUAUGACUCUGAU